rnacentral:snRNA from 1 species
GUGCAAGCUUUGGCAGCACAUAUACUAAACUUAGAAGGAUAUAGAAAACAUUAGCAUGACCUCUUUGCAAGGAGGAAAUACGUAUCUCUGGAGG